rnacentral:rRNA from 1 species
GAUCAAGCUACUAAGUGCAUAUGGUGGAUGCCUUGGCUAAGACUGGCGAUGAAGGACGUGGUAAGCUGCGUUAAGCGUCGGGGAGGUGCAAACAACCUUUGAGCCGGCGAUUUCCGAAUGGGGUAACCCACUGCAGAGUAAUCUGCAGUAUCCGAAAGGAAGGUAACCCAGGGAAGUGAAACAUCUCAGUACCUGGAGGAAAAGAAAUCAAACGAGUAUGCCGAGAGUAGUGGCGAGCGAAAUCGGCGAAGCCUAAACCAUUGUGUUUACACAAUGGGGUUGCAGGAAUCGUAUUAAGUAGAGUUAUCAAUUAAGAUACUAAUUGAACGGUUUGGAAAAGCCGACUAUAAAAGGUGAAAGUCCUGUAGAUGAAAGUUUUUUAACUCCAAACGAUCUCCUAAGUACCAUCGGACACGUGAAAUCCAGUGGGAAUCUGGGGGGACCACCCUCCAAGGCUAAAUACAUGUCUUAGACCGAUAGUGAACUAGUAUCGUGAGAGAAAGGCGAAAAGAACCGCGGAAGCGGAGUGAAAUAGAGCCUGAAACCGUAUGCAUACAAGCAGUUCAAGGCUUAUGCUGGAAGCGCAAGUAACCGGAACGGCUGAGAACGUGCCUGUUGAAGAAUGAUCCGGCGAGUUAUUGGUAGGUGCGAGGUUAAUUAUUAUGUUUACGCAUAUUAAGGAGCCGCAGCGAAAGCAAGUCUGAAAGGGCGAAUAGUACCUAUCAUUAGACCCGAAACCAAGUGAUCUAUGCCUGGACAGAGUGAGUCCCUUUUAAACGAGGGAGGAGGCUCGAAGCGUCGACCGUAGAAAAGGUCUUGCAUGAGCUGGGUAUAGGGGUGAAAGGCCAAUCUAACUUGGUGAUAGCUGGUUCUCCUCGAAAUAGUUUUUGGACUAGCCUGGAGUGUUAAAUCAGAGAGGUAGAGCACUGGAUAGUUUAGUGAGUGUAACCCACUUUGCGACGCUAACCAAACUCCGAAUUCUUUGAUGUAUUUCUCCGGAGUCAGUACGUGUGGGAUAAGCUUCACGUGCAAAAGGGAAACAGCCCAGACCAUCAAUUAAGGUCCCGAAAUAUAUGCUAAGUGGUAAAGGAUGUGGAAUUUCUCAGACAGCUAGGAAGUUGGCUUAGAAGCAGCCAUCCUUUAAAGAGUGCGUAAUAGCUCACUAGUCAAGUGAUUCUGCGC